GUCAGCUUGUCCCGUUUCAUGUCGGUCUCUGUGUGUUUUGUUAAUACAUUUUUGGGACUUUAUCACAAAAUUGUUUCCUACAUUUGGAUUCUCACCGUUUGCCUGACUGUGACACAAGUAUCCUCUUUUGUGUGGUGCUUCUGUCCCUGCAACAGACCAACUCUCAGAGUGGGAGAGAUUCCUGGUGGAUCGUCUGCGCUCCUGUUCUUGGCCGUGGACCACGCCUCCGGCUCGUCUUGGAUGUGGACCUCGCCCCCACCAGUCCUCCACUCCUUUGUGGCUGAACUCUCUUCAGAUACGUAGUUGUAGAGUAAGGGCCACCGUACUUUGAAGUUCUUGGGCCUCAAACUACAAAAAGGAGAACUUCAAAAGCACAGAAAGGUCCUGGAUCUACCAGUGUACACAUGCUGUACAUCACAGUGUUGGCCGUCGCGGUGGUGAUGUAACAACAUGACACAUUACAAAGACACACAACUGAGCACGGCUCUCAACCACUGAACCGACGAGCGAAAAACCCGGACAACAUCUGCAGCCUUUUCCAGCUUCAGGAAUACAGACACAUGAAGGUGAGCGCUCACACAUCCACACAACCGCAGAAGAGAGGGGGAGGAGAGCGGCAGCAUGCUUCACUGGAAAUUACAUCAUCCUCCUCAGUGGACACACCAACACCUCAUCUAUCCUCGUCCGCGUCGGGAUGCAGCGACGGAGACGCUGGCAGCUUCAUUUGGUCCAAAUUCCCUGAUCUGCUGAUGAGCAAGGCAUUCACAUCUUUGCCUUAAUCCAGGUUUCUGCAGCUUAAGGAAGCAGCCGGGGACGGCGAGCACAGAGGAGCUGCAAUGGAGUCACAGAACUCGGCCGGCUGGUAAUUGCACUUCCAUCGCAAGAAGAUCAAUUCUAUAAGAAGAACGUGUUUGUUUGAUACUGAGCGUGAAAACAUGGCAGGAGUUGAUGAGCCUGUAAGUCUGACUCGGCUUUGGAUCCCAGAACACUGCAGUGCUACAUUACAGCAGACAUGAAGCAGCAGAUCGGUCAUACAUGUCCCUUCAUGGACGGUUUUUAGUUCUCCAUCAUAAUGACACUGAACAUCCAGACGACUCUGGUGUUUUAAUAUAUACAGGAACAGAACCUGGAAGUUGUUGAAACUGUUUGAAAAUGAGGAUUUUUUGGGAGCUGUUAAUUGACUGCAUAAAAGAACUGGACUUAGUGACCCCGCCCCCCUGGUGUUCCAAACAGGAAGUACCUGCUGGUUCCAAGAAACCAAAAUCCUAUAGACUUAUAGAGAAAUAAACAGUUGUUACUCA